ensembl:ncRNA F25G6.17 ncRNA
AAGCUUGAUCUAUUACUGUACUCGUCCACAUGUAUCUAAAAGACCCUGUCUUUUGAGCUCUGAAAACUGCGGGAGACGUUACUGUGAUACGGCAGCAGGAAACACGCGCUUUAGGAGGUCAACAGUCAAGAAAUCUUCUGGAUACACUUG